UAGAACUCCUGGGAGGCAGAG
rnacentral:miRNA from 1 species